AUGUACAGUCACCCAACAGUUGCUAGGCGCCCAAUUUUGCCCGCACCACCAACAGACGAUCCUAUCUCAUCCUUGCACCUCCCGGCAGAAGCCAUCUCCAUUCUGCCGCCACCACUGCCACCCCCACCACCACGACCCCCCUUUCCUUUGCGUGGACUGGCACACUUCCUGCAGAUGAAUUUUUCAGGGACUUCUUCAAAAUCACUGAUUCCUGAGCAUCUUGUGUGCUGCCACACUCCACACGCAUCACACGCCAUCAUCCUCUCACCGUCAUCGUCCUUGGCACCACAGGUGCAGUCCACCGUCCAGUUCUCCAAGCCCCUCUCCAUCCUGAACUGCACAAUUCUCCUGUGA
rnacentral:rRNA from 1 species